CCGAGCUAACCAAUGGGAAGGGGGGAACCCUGGAGCAGCAUGAAGUCGCAGGUCUUCCAUAUUGGAACAGGGCCGCCUGGACCCCGCCCUGCGCCUGGGGUUGUUGACCGCGUGCGCGGAGGUCUUCUCUUUGGAGGCCCGCGUCGGCUUGCGUUCCCUCCAGGGAGUCGAUGCUGAGCCCCGGGGCGCUUCUCUUAGGAUCGCGGCGGGAUGAGUAGGCUUGUGUCUGCUGAGACCACGGAACUAGGGAACCGGAGAAAGGCUGACGUGUGUGACGCAUCGGGGGAAAGGCUGCGUGACCCAGCAUGAGGAAACCGACGCUGUGGUGAAAAGAAACACCUGGAAGAACGGUCCCAGGAUGUGAACCUUUGUUCUUAAAGUCAAAGCAUGCGAAGCCCCUACUUAAGCGCAAAACCUCUCCAGAAGACAAGUCUGCCCUUGGGAAUUAUUAAGAGAGCCGGAUUCGGAGAAUAACAUUCGAUCACAACUUUG